CGUAGGUGAACCUGCGGAUGGAUCAUUUUCUAUCAUUAAAUAAUCAUGAUGAUAGGGUCCGAAUUAAUUGAAAGGUGUCUCGCGACUCUAAGUAAAUCACUUCGAUCCCCCUAUUGUCUUGAUGUUAUCACAAUUUAAUUGAUGAUUUAUUUAAUAAAUGAUAUUAAAUGUCGCUCACGAGCGAAUCCAUCUCGCAAUAAAGUUCUCUUGUUAUCGACCGACCCCAACUCAACCCUCAAGCGCUUGCGCUUGAUUUUUCUAGUACGUCAAACAAAACAUUUAAAAUAUGUUUAACAGAUUUUAAAUCUUUAAGCAUAAACGGUGGAUACCUCGACUCCUAAAUCGAUGAAGACCGUAGCAAACUGCGAUAAUUCACUUGAAUUGCAGCCUACUGGGAUAGUUGAAAUGUUGAACGCACAUGAUGACAUUGGUCCUUUCGGAUUAAAUGUCAUACCUGGGUGAGAGUGGCUUUUAAACCAGUCACAAUCAAAUGAUUUCUCGCUUGCGAGAUCUCUUUGAGAGUGAUUUGCAUAAGGAUUCUACCGCAAAGGUACCUUCUCGGUACCCUAGCGAUGAUGAUCUAUGCAUUUUUGCGGUACUCCGCUAGUAAUUGCUCACAGUUAUCCAAUCAUUUAAUGUCCUUUAUCAAACCUGCUCCACUAUGUCGUGAAGUCGCUAAGGGUUUUAUUCGGAUACUUUAAAUUUGUGACACUAACAAUUGAUUUAUCAUGUCGUUAGUCGAUCAUAACCAAAGAGAUGAAUCUAACCUGACUGAUCGUCGGAUGCAAUCGAUACUGGUCCUCUUUAAUGGGAUAUUUAAAGGCUGUUUAGUCGGUUCAUCAAGCAUAGAGUGCUACUCUCGUUAGUCUUGUUUAUGAGCCCAUGACUUUAUAUGUUGCCUCACCUUGGUAAGACUA
rnacentral:rRNA from 1 species